GGCGACAAGCGGUGGAGCAUGUGGUUAAUUCGAAGCAACGCGAAGAACCUUACCAGGCCUUGACAUGCAGAGAACUUUCCAGAGAUGGAUUGGUGCCUUCGGGAACUCUGACACAGGUGCUGCAUGGCUGUCGUCAGGCUCCGUGUCGUGAGAUGUUGGGUUAAGUCCCGUAACGAGCGCAACCCUUGUCCUUAGUUACCAGCACGUUAUGGUGGGCACUCUAAGGAGACUGCCGGUGACAAACCGGAGGAAGGUGGGGAUGACGUCAAGUCAUCAUGGCCCUUACGGCCUGGGCUACACACGUGCUACAAUGGUCGGUACAAAGGGUUGCCAAGCCGCGAGGUGGAGCUAAUCCCAUAAAACCGAUCGUAGUCCGGAUCGCAGUCUGCAACUCGACUGCGUGAAGUCGGAAUCGCUAGUAAUCGUGAAUCAGAAUGUCACGGUGAAUACGUUCCCGGGCCUU
rnacentral:rRNA from 1 species